GACGAACGCUGGCGGCGUGCUUAACACAUGCAAGUCGAACGGAAAGGCCCUGCUUGCCGGGUACUCGAGUGGCGAACGGGUGAGUAACACGUGGGUGAUCUGCCCUGCACUUCGGGAUAAGCCUGGGCAACUGGGUCUAAUACCGGAUAGGAGCCAUUUUUAGUGUGAUGGUUGGAAAGUUUUUUCGGUGUAGGAUGAGCUCGCGGCCUAUCAGCUUGUUGGUGGGGUAAUGGCCUACCAAGGCGGCGACGGGUAGCCGGCCUGAGAGGGUGGACGGCCACAUUGGGACUGAGAUACGGCCCAGACUCCUACGGGAGGCAGCAGUGGGGAAUAUUGCACAAUGGGCGCAAGCCGGAUGCAGCGACGCCGCGUGGGGGAUGACGGCCUUCGGGUUGUAAACUCCUUCCGCUAGGGACGAAGCUUUUUGUGACGGUACCUAGAUAAGAAGCACCGGCUAACUACGUG
rnacentral:rRNA from 1 species